rnacentral:rRNA from 1 species
UACGUAGGGUGCGAGCGUUGUCCGGAAUUACUGGGCGUAAAGAGCUCGUAGGUGGUUUGUCGCGUUGUUCGUGAAAACUCACAGCUCAACUGUGGGCGUGCGGGCGAUACGGGCAGACUAGAGUACUGCAGGGGAGACUGGAAUUCCUGGUGUAGCGGUGAAAUGCGCAGAUAUCGAGGAGGAACGACCGGUGGCGGAAGGCGGGUCUCUGGGCCGAUACAUGACGCUGGA